ACUGACGCUGAUGGACGAAAGCGUGGGUAGCGAACGGGAUUAGAUACCCCGGUAGUCCACGCCGUAAACGAUGGUCACUCGCUGCAGGCGAUACACGGUCUGUGGCUGAGCGAAAGCAUUAAGUGACCCACCUGGGGAGUACGUUCGCAAGAAUGAAACUCAAAGGAAUUGACGGGGGCCCGCACAAGCGGUGGAGCAUGUGGUUUAAUUCGAUGAUACGCGAGGAACCUUACCAGGGCUUAAAUGUAGUAUGACAGGACUAGAGAUAGUUUUUUCUUCGGACAUAUUACAAGGUGCUGCAUGGUUGUCGUCAGCUCGUGCCGUGAGGUGUUGGGUUAAGUCCCGCAACGAGCGCAACCCUUGUUUUUAGUUGCCUUUUAUGGAACUCUAAAAAGACUGCUGGUUAUAAACCGGAGGAAGGUGGGGAUGACGUCAAGUCAGCAUGCCCCUUACACCCUGGGCUACACACGUGCUACAUUGGGCGAGACAAUGAGAUGCAAGUCUGCGAAGAUUAGCUAAUCUAUAAACUCGUUCUAAGUUCGGAUUGUAGGCUGCAACUCGCCUACAUGAAGGUGGAAUCGCUAGUAAUCGCUGGUCAGCUACACAGCGGUGAAUCCGUUCCCGGGCCUUGUACACACCGCCCGUCACACCAUGGAAGCUGGUU
rnacentral:rRNA from 12 species